rnacentral:misc_RNA from 1 species
GAAAUACGAUAAGUAAUGUGAAUUGCAGAAUUCAGUGAAUCAUCGAAUCUUUGAACGCACAUUGCGCCCGCCAGUAUUCUGGCGGGCAUGCCUGUCCGAGCGUCAUUUCAACCAUCAAGCCCCCGGGCUUGUGUUGGGGACCUGCGGCUGCCCGCAGGCCCUGAAAACCAGUGGCGGGCUCGCUGUCACACCGAGCGUAGUAGCAAUCACCUCGCUCAGGGCGUGCUGCGGGUUCCGGCCGUUAAACAGCCUUACAAAACCCAAGGUUGACCUCGGAUCAGGUAGGAAGACCCGCUGAACUUAAGC